rnacentral:ncRNA from 1 species
UUUGGUUCUCCGAUGAUUCGUUCAAAGGAGAUGAAAUGGGAAUCAGGUGUAAAUCCUGAACAGUACCCGCUGCUGUAAGCUCAUUUUUAUUAUCGGCUUGACAAGCCACUGUCCGACUGACGGGAAGGUGCCGAUAAUUGAGUAAGUCAGAAGACCUGCCGGUUCG